UGAGCUAUGUUCUAAAGUAUUUCUGCACCAUCGCCGUUGGCAUUUUGCCAAGUAUAAUCGAAUUUUUGUAUUUUUAGGCAAAAAUAUUUUCAAUUUGCUCUGCUGUGAAAUUUUAUAUCAAAAAGUGUAUACAUAUCGUAUAUGAAACAGGGAAUUAAAUCAAAGAGCAGAGAAUAUUACUAUCGAGUCAAAUCAGCUGGGGUUUGCUGCUACCUGUACCAAAGAUGUACACAGUGAUGCUCUCCAUUAUGAAUUUGGUUAAAUUAAUGCGGUUUAAACAAUAAAUCCGGAUUUGCAGCUACAUCAAAAGUUUGCACAGACCAUUUUAAUAAGGCAUAUGUGUUGCAGUCAGCAAGUAAAUUGAGACUUCUGCCAAUGGCUAUGCCAGAACUCGGACCACCGCAAUUGAGCCCGUAAGCAAUGAUAUAUGAAACCUGACGAUACACAAGUAAAUGUCCACGAUAAGAUUAUUAUUGACAAAACAGAAACGGAAUCAUGCACUCUUAUUGGAAAUCUAGCUCAAAAAACCAAAACAUCAGGAGACUCAAACCCUACCCCGCAUAAAGCUAUCUGAAGAAUGUUAGUUAUUCUAAUAGCUAGCUAGGGUUGAUACACCAAUUUAUACAACAUUUAUCUCAUAAAAGAAAACUUUGACAUGAGGUCCAACCAUGUCUCUGCAUUUCAUGAUGUAGCGAUAUCCGUCUCACUUCCAAAAUAGAUGGGAGAUAUCGGGUCACUCCUUUAAAAAGUUGCCCAUAAAUUCUAAAUUUUGAAAAAAGAAGUGAAUUAUUUACUUGAUAGAAAACAUGAUUCUAACAAAAUGCUUGUAAAAUUAAGAUUUUGAUCGCCACAAAUGGUAUAUUACAAAAAUUCCGUUCUUAAAUGUUUACAAAACUUGGCCAAAAUCUAGUAGUAUCUUUUCUAAACUGUACGUUAUCUACUUAAGGAACUUUUACAGUUUUUGCCGAUGUGCCCCGCUUCUGCGGGAAAACUGUUGCGUUCUAACUUUUUGUAGCCUGAUUUUUUCUUGGUUGUAUUUGUUUCAGUCCUGUAAUUUUUGCAGCGGAUAUUGAAAAAAUGUGCAGCUUUUAAGAUAUCUGCGGAAUGAAAAUAAAGAAUUAAAGAGAAAGCUGCUGGAAUCAAAGACUGCUUUAGAUCACAUUGAAAAAAUAUUUACAGAAGGUCAAAUCAAAAAAUUAAAAUCUAACACAAAUAUUAGAUGGAAAUGGAGGGAUAUAUCCAGUGUUAUUUGCCUGCACGCUGCAGGGCCACGAGCGUACAGACAUUUGUAUCAAAAGAGGCAUCCUCUUCCCAGCAUAUCCACGCUCAAUAACUGGUGUUGUCAAGGAAAGGAUUUUGUGGUCAUCGAUCAAGUUUAUGCGGCAAGUGAAUUAUAUGACAUUAGAUUAAAAAAUUUUUAUUCUAUCUUUCGAUGAAAUGAAAAUUGCUGAAACGUACGAAUACGACUUGCAUAAUGAUGUUGUUCGGAAACCGGCAAAUUAUGUGCAAGUCGUAAUGGCCAGUGGGAUAAAAAAGGGAUGGAAACAACCUGUAUUUUAUGGUUUUGAUUGCAAGAUGACGAGAGAACUUUUACUACAGAUAAUAUGUGUGCUAGAUAAUUCUGGUUAUCCUGUGGUCGCUGUGGUCUGCGACAUUUGACCAUCGAACCGAAAGUUGUGGCGAGAUUUCGACAUAACGCCAG
rnacentral:sRNA from 1 species